CGCGCAGGCGGUUCGUCAAGUCCCGUGUGAAAUCCCCCGGCUCAACUGGGGAACUGCGCGGGAAACUAGCGAGCUUGAGUUCGGGAGAGGAAAGCGGAAUUCCGGGUGUAGCGGUGAAAUGCGCAGAUAUCCGGAGGAACACCAGUGGCGAAGGCGGCUUUCUGGACCGACACUGACGCUGAGGCGCGAAAGCUAGGGGAGCGAACG
rnacentral:rRNA from 1 species